GAGACCCUGUGUAUGGAUACACGUGUACUUAAAACAGCCCCGCCUGUGUGUAGAGCACUUGCUGUAUGUCAACGCUUUGCAGGAGCUAUUGCACUUAAGCCUCAGAACAACUUUAUGAGAUUUCCCAGAAGUAGGAAUACCAGUUCCCACAGGAUGCAGUCUUAGAAGUGGAUUUUCUGGUAGGGUCUUCAUAGCCAGCUUAUUUUUCUUUGUUUUAGGCCUAUUUCUAACAGACUUGUUAUGUGUAUUCUUAUUCAAUUCUGGAUUGGAUUCAGAAAAUUGGACAGUGUUGCAGGUACUGAAUGACGUGUAGGCAUGCUGAUAUCCACAAAAGUAAGAACUGACUACACUUCAAGAAUGUUAAAGAAAGUCAUUCAGACAGAAAGGAAAUGAUACCAGAUGGAAAUACAGAUCUACACAGAGGAAUGAUGAGCACUGGAAAAGAAUGUAUCUUACAGGAGGAAGAUCUUUUUUCAGUUGACUCCAGUGCCUAGCAAAUGUUUGAUACACAAAAGAUGUUUAAUAAGAAUUUGGAUUGGUUCCUGGAAGUGGAACUACUAUAUCAAAGAUUUGGACAUUUUUAAGACCCCAGAAAGGUAAUAUAGUAAUAAAUGCGACUGUAAAUUUUAACACAUUCUUAGCUACACUAGUUAUUAACACUUGCAUUUUCAAUCUUUGUCAGUCUGAUAAUAGGGAGACUCAUUGUGUAAUUUGAUAAAAUUGCAUUUUUGCUCAUAUACUCAUAUUAAUAACUUAACUACCUCAAGGACUUAAUAUUCUUUGUCUUUUCCAUGAUGCUUACUCAGCUGGUGAAGAAAUGUAUUUUUUAUUGACUUUGGCAGUAUUUCUUUUAAAAUUAAUUAUAUUUUGAACACAUAGAAAGGUGAAGAAAAAUAGCAUAAGGAAGGAUCCAGAUUAUUUUACUUAGUAAAAAAAGGUAAGAUUGUAUUUAAUUAUUAAUGUAGUGGUAAAUAGAACAUUAUUACUAGAAGCUAGCAAUAUCAUAUUUUAUUUAUUGAAUUUAUUUCUUUAUUGAAAUCAUACUGAAUUUAUUGCUUAAUGUGCCAUUUUCACUACCUCACUUUCCAAAAUGCUUACUAAAUGCUUAGCUUAUAAGAUUAAGAAAAACAUUCACUAGAUAACUACUUUGAAAUAAUUGCCCCAACCGUGCUUUCAUUCACGAUGCCUAGAAACAGACUUGCCUACUUUAAUUUUCUUUCAUGUUGUUAUUACUAUGAAGUCAUUUUAUAGAUAAGGUAAUAAGCAUUCUGGCAUAAAGAAAAAUAGCAUCUGUACAACGAUAUGGCACAGUUUGGUUGGGGCUGUUCCUCCUUCAGAACUUCAUUACAUAAUUUGAAAGUGUUUACUUAAGCUCCUUUGGGCUGCCUCCAUGGUAGCUAUGAAGUCACAGAAUUAGGACCAGUUUGGGGCCUGAUAACAACGUCUGUUAGUUUAAUGUGAACACUGUGUCAAUUUUUUUUUUUUUUAUCAUUGCUGUAUAAGAAACUUUAAAAACAAAGAUAUACUUAAUUCAUUUCAUUUUUUAAAACAAGUAUGCUUCUUCAAAAAUCACUAAUACACAAAACAAGGGAUUCAUAAAUGUAUGUUUGCUCAUUGUCUAGAUGUAUUUAUUUUAAAAUCUGUAUUCCAUACCAUGAAUUCACAGUAUGAUUUUGACUCAGUAUAAUUAUAAAUAAUUAUGCAAAAUUACCAAAAUGUGUAGAGGUAUGAGACAGCCUUUAGGAGAGUAUGAAUUAUUAAAAUUCUAUUUCUACACCAAGACCACUAUUUCUAUCUCUAAGUCAUAAAAGAAAUCUAAGAGAACACCAUAGAUGUAUAAAUUAUAAUAAUAUCAGCUUUAGGAGAAUUUAAAAAGAUACCAGGUUAUAAGAAAAAAUUAUUUUCUCUUGAUUACUCAAAGAAAGGUAAUAUUUUCAGUUCCUGAGAGGGAGAACUCUUGCUCCUUGGCCAACCAAAUAACUAGGUGUAUUGGUUUUAAAGAAAAAUAUUGCAAUAUGCAUUGUAAACAUGGAAGAAGAAUCAUUUAAAUUUUGUAUUGUAAUAAUCAAAUGGUAUAUCACCUUCAAGGCAACGUGAAAAUUUUUUAUAAAAUACCUAAAAUCUCAACCAUCCCUUUAGAAUUACUGAGUUUUAUGAAUAAACAAGCCUAAAUCAAGAUCCUGUUAUCUAAAAGCAUAUAGACCUCUUAAAGAAAUGUCAUUUUGUUUUAAUUAUGUAACAUGAAUUUAUUAUAAAAUUACUUGUUGGAAUAAUCUCCGUAGCAUUUUGCUUUUUAACUAACUUUGAGAAGUUAAACUGAUGGCCUUGCCAAUGAUCUAGUGAGGUACAAAGUCAGGGAUAAUUCAGGGAAGAAACAGAAAAAACCUUUAGGACCUGAUCAUCACUCUGGAGGUAUAGCCACUCUAGGGGUCCUACGUGGAUUGGGAGAGAGGGGUUUCUGUGUAUAGGCGGCCUGAUCUGGAGGGGGAGGAUGGUCAAGGGGGAGAAGAGGGAAAGAUUAUGAGACAAACUGCCUACUCAGAUUGGUUUAGGUUUAGCUUUGCUGUAACAAUGAAAUGUGGUGGGGUUUUUUUGUUUGUUUAUUUAUUUUGAGAGAGAGAGAGCGAGCACAUGUGCAUAUGGUAUGAUCAGGGAAGGGGCAGAAAGAGAGAGAGAAGUAGAGAGAGAAUCCCA